rnacentral:rRNA from 1 species
UAAGGAAUAUUGCUCAAUGGGAGAAAUCCUGAAGCAGCAACGCCGCGUGGAGGAUGAAGGGUCUAUGACUUGUAAACUCCUGUAAAGAAGGAAAAAAUUCCCAUUUGAUGGGAGAUGAUGGUACUUCUGGAGUAAGCCCCGGCUAACUACGUGCCAGCAGCCGCGGUAAUACGUAGGGGGCAAGCGUUGUCCGGAUUUACUGGGUGUAAAGGGUGCUCAGGCGGAUUUGUAAGUCAGAGGUGAAAUCUUACAGCUUAACUGUGAAACUGCCUUUGAUACUGCAAGCCUAGAGUAUGGAAGANAGUGAUGGAAUAUCUGGUGUAGCAGUGAAAUGCGUAGAUAUCAGAUAGAACACCAAUGGCGAAGGCAGUCACUUGGUCCAUUACUGACGCUAAAGCACGAAAGCGUGGGUAGCAAAC